CGAAACGGGAAUAGCCCAAACCAACAAGCUUGCUUGUUGGGGUUGUAGGACACUCUAUACGGAGUUACAAAAGAACAUGUUAGACGAAUCAUCUGGAAAGAUGAAUCAAAGAAGGUAAUAAUCCUGUAGUCGAAAACAUAUUCUCUCUUGAGUGGAUCCUGAGUACGACGGAGCACGUGAAAUUCCGUCGGAAUCUGGGAGGACCAUCUCCUAAGGCUAAAUACUCUCUAGUGACCGAUAGUGAACCAGUACCGUGAGGGAAAGGUGAAAAGUACCCCGGAAGGGGAGUGAAAGAGAACUUGAAACCGUGUGCUUACAAGUAGUCAGAGCCCGUUAAUGGGUGAUGGCGUGCCUUUUGUAGAAUGAACCGGCGAGUUACGAUCUGAUGCAAGGUUAAGCAGCAAAUGUGGAGCCGCAGCGAAAGCGAGUCUGAAUAGGGCGUUGAGUAUUUGGUCGUAGACCCGAAACCAGGUGAUCUACCCUUGGUCAGGUUGAAGUUCAGGUAACACUGAAUGGAGGACCGAACCGACUUACGUUGAAAAGUGAGCGGAUGAACUGAGGGUAGCGGAGAAAUUCCAAUCGAACUUGGAGAUAGCUGGUUCUCUCCGAAAUAGCUUUAGGGCUAGCCUCAAGUGAUGAUUAUUGGAGGUAGAGCACUGUUUGGACGAGGGGCCCCUCUCGGGUUACCGAAUUCAGACAAACUCCGAAUGCCAAUUAAUUUAACUUGGGAGUCAGAACAUGGGUGAUAAGGUCCGUGUUCGAAAGGGAAACAGCCCAGACCACCAGCUAAGGUCCCAAAAUAUAUGUUAAGUGGAAAAGGAUGUGGCGUUGCCCAGACAACUAGGAUGUUGGCUUAGAAGCAGCCAUCAUUUAAAGAGUGCGUAAUAGCUCACUAGUCGAGUGACACUGCGCCGAAAAUGUACCGGGGCUAAACAUAUUACCGAAGCUGUGGAUUGUCCUUUGGACAAUGGUAGGAGAGCGUUCUAAGGGCGUCGAAGCAUGAUCGCAAGGACAUGUGGAGCGCUUAGAAGUGAGAAUGCCGGUGUGAGUAGCGAAAGACGGGUGAGAAUCCCGUCCACCGAUUGACUAAGGUUUCCAGAGGAAGGCUCGUCCGCUCUGGGUUAGUCGGGUCCUAAGCUGAGGCCGACAGGCGUAGGCGAUGGAUAACAGGUUGAUAUUCCUGUACCACCUAGUAUCGUUUUAAUCGAUGGGGGGACGCAGUAGGAUAGGCGAAGCGUGCUGUUGGAGUGCACGUCCAAGCAGUAAGGCUGAGUGUUAGGCAAAUCCGGCACUCAUAAGGCUGAGCUGUGAUGGGGAGAGGAAAUUGUUUCCUCGAGUCGUUGAUUUCACACUGCCGAGAAAAGCCUCUAGAUAGAUAACAGGUGCCCGUACCGCAAACCGACACAGGUAGUCAAGAUGAGAAUUCUAAGGUGAGCGAGCGAACUCUCGUUAAGGAACUCGGCAAAAUGACCCCGUAACUUCGGGAGAAGGGGUGCUCUUUAGGGUU
rnacentral:rRNA from 1 species